UACGUAGGUGGCAAGCGUUGUCCGGAUUUAUUGGGUUUAAAGGGCGCGUAGGCGGCCAGCACAAGUCAGUUGUGAAAUCUCCGGGCUUAACUCGGAAAGGUCAACUGAUACUGUGCGGCUAGAGUGCAGAAGGGGCAACUGGAAUUCUCGGUGUAGCGGUGAAAUGCGUAGAUAUCGAGAGGAACACCUGCGGCGAAGGCGGGUUGCUGGGCUGACACUGACGCUGAUGCGCGAAAGCCAGGGGAGCGAACGGG
rnacentral:rRNA from 1 species